rfam:Myotis brandtii contig182373, whole genome shotgun sequence.
GGCCUCCCUCUGUGGGGCGAUCAAUCACCCCAAAGUGGUAGGCCCCACUCACUUAGCUGGGUCUCUGUGAUUGAUCGCCCCGCAGAGGGAGGCC